rnacentral:lncRNA from 1 species
UCAGCUUCCAGUGAACGUGUGAAAUCUCAGGUGCUGCACACUGCUCCGGGUGUGUGUGUGUGUUCACGGUGUGUGUGUGUGUGUGUUCACAGUGUGUGUGUGUGUGUGUGUGUGUGUUCACGGGGUGUGUGUGUGUUCACAGUGUGUGUGUGUGUGUGUGUGUGUGUGUUCACGGAGUGUGUGUGUGUGUGUGUGUUCACGGUGUGUGUGUGUGUGUGUUCACGGUGUGUGUGUGUGUGUGUUCACAGUGUGUGUGUGUGUGUGUGUGUGUUCACGGGGUGUGUGUGUGUUCACAGUGUGUGUGUGUGUGUGUGUGUGUGUGUUCACGAAGUGUGUGUGUGUGUGUGUGUUCACGGAGUGUGUGUGUGUUCACGGAGUGUGUGUGUUCACGGUGUGUGUGUGUGUGUGUUCACAGUGUGUGUGUUCACAGUGUGUGUGUGUGUGUGUGUGUGUGUUCACAGUGUGUGUGUUCACAGUGUGUGUGUGUGUGUUCACAGUGUGUGUGUGUGUGUGUGUGUGUGUGUGUGUGUUGACGGAGUGUGUGUGUGUUCACGGUGUGUGUGUGUGUGUGUGUUCACAGUGUGUGUGUGUUCACGGUGUGUGUGUGUGUGUGUGUGUUCACAGUGUGUGUGUGUUCACGGUGUGUGUGUGUGUGUGUGUGUUCACGGUGUGUGUGUGUGUGUUCACGGUGUGUGUGUGUGUUUGUGUGUGUGUUCACAGUGUGUGUGUGUGUGUGUUCACGGUGUGUGUGUGUGUGUGUGUGUUCACGGUGUGUGUGUGUGUGUUCACGGUGUGUGUGUGUGUGUUUGUGUUCACAGUGUGUGUGUGUGUGUUUGUGUUCACAGUGUGUGUGUGUGUGUGUGUGUUUGUGUUCACAGUGUGUGUGUGUUCACAGUGUGUUUGUGUUCACAGUGUGUGUGUGUGUGUUUGUGUUCACAGUGUGUGUUUGUGUUCACAUGUGUGUGUGUGUGUGUGUUUGUGUUCACAUGUGUGUGUGUGUGUGUGUGUGUGUUUGUGUUCACAGUGUGUGUGUGUGUGUGUGUGUGUUCACAGUGUGUUUGUGUUCACAUGUGUGUGUGUGUGUGUGUGUGUGUGUUCGCACUGUGGAAGGGUUAA